ACACUAUUUUAGGUGAGUGUACCCACAAAGACAUGACCAUUGCCUUACCCCUUAUAGUUCAUCCACUGAGAUCAACUUGGGAUAUGGUAUCUCACUUGGAGAUGUCAGCAAUCAAUUGGGAUAGCCCUGUUUCUGCUUCUAUAAUCUUUACCUUUUUGAGCAGCUUCUAGUACCAAUGAUAAAGUGUAACUUUCUUCCCAUGAGACCCUGAAUUGGUCAGAAUUAAAUCGGCUUGUGCCCAAAGCUCUAGUUCAUAACCUGUUCUACUGCUGUAUUGGAAUUAUGCCCUAGCUUGUCCAUGAUAAUCUUUCUAGAAGAAAAUCCAAAACUUGGGUAACUGUCAAAAUUUGUCUCAUUUCACUUAACAUCUCUCUCAAUGUUAAGUUUUCAGGGAGGAAAAAAAAGAGAGAUCAAAUUGCUUUAUUCUAAGUAACAGUUCAAGUAAUCAGUGCCAACUUGUGUUAAAGUCCAAAAUUAUAAUGUUCAACAUUGAACCCUCUGAAAUAAAGUUCAAACAUCAGGUUCUCUUGGGCUCUGGAAGUGACCUUAGCUCCCAAAUCAGCUUUCCUUCCCCCAGGGAUCCUACUAGGUUUACAGGGGUGUUCCCCAGCAGGAGCAAUCCUCUAGCAAACAUGAGAUAUGAAGUAGUAAAAAAGAAAUGUAGGAUUCUGACUCCAAAGAGGAAGGAAAAAGGAGAGGAUGACGGUGAGUUGCAUAAGUACCAAGCUCACUCAUCUGAAUAUGGAUCAACUUUCCUUCUCCAUAUUAUCAGUAAUUGUCAACAAUAAAGAAAUGUUUCCCCUAAGACAGUAAAGAAUUAAAAGAAAAAGAAUCUCUUAUUUAAGAAAUAAGGUUUAUUUUUAUAAGUAAUAUUUAUUAGGUGUCAUGGUGGAAAUUUGUGAGAACUGGAUGCUGCUCAACACCCAACUACUAAUAUGUAUAUCAUGUUAUAUAUGUCAACGUCUUGUUAGAUUGUUAUAUCAAUGCCCUACCCAGCAAAGUUAGCAGCACAACCUCAAGUAUCUGCGAGUUGAAACAUAUCAAUGUAAUCCUCAUUCAUAUGAUGCCAUGUGUUAGCUAGCAGCUCUUUUCUGCUUCAUCCUGAUUCUAGGGCUCUGAAUGAUGAAAUCAGCCAUCAUUUGAACCAUCACUGGAGACUGUCAACCCCCUCCUCACUGAUACUUGUUUUCUCAUUUUAAAAUUCAGCUAGACCUACAACUACUUUCACCAACAGAAAUGUGUUGUUUUCAACUUUAGAUUUAGAAACACCUAGAAGUUUCUGUCCUUUUGCUUUCCAAGUCCUGAACCAGCACGCUAGUCUUCUAGACAAGCCAUGUGAAGAGGGCUGUGGAAGACUAUGGAAGAGAAAAACUCAGCCACAAACCUAGAUGAGCUUCCCAAUUACUUCUGCCUAGAACCUUACGAGAAACCUCAAAGCAAAAUUAAACAAUGUCCUUCGAGCUUUCAACCCACAAAACCGUGAGAGAAAACAAAAGCUACCUGAUUGUUUAACAUUACUAAGUGGUAGAUACAGGACAAUAGAUAAUGAAAACAUUGUCACCCUGGCAAAAGGAGAAGAGCAUGAGUAAGAUACAUAGGUAUUCUAAACUUUUCUUUGGAAGUAACACAAAUAAUUUCUGGGGGUAGAGGUGAACACAAUAUGUGGUUAGCAUUAGUAGCUCCUGGGGAGAAGUCAGAGCUGCAGAGGUGAAUCUCCAACAGAUAACUGGUAAAUCAGAAGUACACACAGUGCUAAGUAAUCAAAGUUAAAGUACGGGCAGAGAAUGUAGAUGACCUAAACAAGGUAAGGGCAAGGGAAGAAUAAAUGAGGGAAAAAAGAAUCAGAAAAGGGCAGGGUGUUGGAUGCCUUUAAUCCCAGCACUCGGGAGGCAGAGGCAGGUGGAUCUCUGUGAGUUCCAGGCCAGCCUGGUCUUCAGAGUGAGUGCCAGGACAGCAUCCAAAGCAAUACAGAGAAACCCAGUGUCAAAAACACAAAAAUCAGGAAAAGACCAACAAUGUACAAGGAGGAAUCUUGAAAUUCAAGGAAUUUAAAUAAUGUAAUAACCUGAUAGGAAUCUGUAAACCCAGCCCAGGGAGGAUGGAACAAGAAAAUAAAGAGUUGGAGGCCAACGUCAGGUACAUACAUAAUGAAUCUGAGUGCAGUCUUGGCCUCACAGUGAGAUCUUGCCUCAAAACAACAAAAAUACAACAGUUAAGAAUAAAAAGCCAAAAUGGGUGAUAUAGGGAAGAGAUGCAGAGACAUUCAAAGAAAAAAAUCAGUCACAGCCUCAGAAAGGGAAAGUAAUACUGGACAGGUGCAAUUCCAGAAGGGCAUUCAAUAAGACAGUAGUGUGGGCAGUCUUGGAGUAGGUAAUAAGCACAGCAAAUGGAGAUCACAGGAUAAACUAGUAUAGAAAUAAACAGAUCACUUUAAGAGAGGACAUCUCACAGAUUAUCUAUAUAGAAAAAGACAGAGGCCACUUAGGGAUAUAUGGAGAUCUCUGAAUACAAACAGCUUUUCUGAUUUGCUAAGUUCCCUGCUCCUGGCCCCAGAAAUUGAUGUCUGAUCAAAGGAAAUUAACAUACAUGAUGAGUCCCUUCAUGUGGGAACGAAGUUGAGAAAUCACAAGAUGUAAAAUUACUGCAGUAUUCACAGCAGGAAUAUCAAAUUGGAAGAGAUUACUAUGACAGGGCAAAAAAAGGAAGAAUUCUUUUGGACCAGUUCAGGAGACUUACCUUAAUGGUACCCUGCUCAGAGGACCCCGACAGAGAUAGGGUUUAUAUGAACUCAAGACACUUAUUUUAGGAAGGGCAUGAACUUUUUGCUUCACUAGACAAUAUUAACUAUCCAACAUUCCCCAUCCAAGCAGGGACAACUGAAAUACAAUGCUUUCAAUUCCUCUCUUCUAAACCAAAUAAGUGAAGCAAAACUGUGCCAUAAUCAGUUCCAAAGUUAGGCCUGGCCAUCUAUGCCAGUGAUUCUCAGUCAGUACCACCUUCCUAGGGAACAAGUAUACAGCAGAAAGGAAAAAGGUUUUCCAUAUCAUAAUGCCUGGGGUGACUGACUAUGCCCCAUGUGCAGUACAGCCUUUCCUAAGAACUCCCCAAAGCCAUGUAAGGAAAGGCAAUCUGUCAGUUAAUGCUUUAGUGAUAGCUAACGACCCAAUUCUGAAUAGUAGGACAUGAGUGGCCUUCUAUGAAGCCUCAGGAGUCCUUUCUUUUUACUGUCGUCGUUUCAACUAUAUAGAUACUUGACACUGCUACAACCAUUUGUUUCUCAAAAAAAAGUUUCUUCCCAAUCUUUUUCUAUCACUGACAUCUCCGUUUUCUGUUACCAAGUCCCACAGCAACUGUGACUUCUAACCCUUAAUCUGACAGUGACUACUGAGGUUUGCUUGUGACAACCGAUUUUAUUCCUGUUCUCCCAGUGUAAAGAUUAUAUGGUCACUUAUUUAUUUUCAAUUAAAGAUAACAGCUCUGACUCAAAAGAAAAAAAAAAAAAUGUUCUCAGGGAUUGGCAAACCCUGGGCUUGCAAGUUGUUUUUGUACCUACUUUGGGGCUGAAACUGACUUUAAUGUUAUUAAGUGAUUUAAAAAUCAGAAGGAUGGCCAAGAGAAUGUAGCUUAGUUGGUUACUUGCUGGCAAGCAGGAGGUAGAAGAAUCAGGAGUUCAUGGUCAUCCUCAUCUACAUAUCAAGUUCACAGCCAGUCUGGGAUACAUGAGACCCUGUCUCAAAAACAAAGGGAUAACAUUUCAUGACAACAGAAAUUAGAGUUCAGUGUCUCUAAGUACAGUUUUCAUUGGAACAUUACCACAUUCGUUCACUUAAGUAUUAACUAUGAGUUGAGAAGCUAGAGCGGCGACCUUAUGGCCCACAGCUCCUUUAUAAUGUAUUACAGAAAACUGUUCUCAACCCCUUCGCUAACGCCAUCACUAGAGUCUGUGUACAGCGCAGGUACAGUUGCAUAACUGGUUUCCCAUCCCACCCCUUUCUUCAAGUCCUAAAUAAGUCCGCUCAAGGCAGGGCGGCAGAAGCCUGUCAAACUAGUUGAGAGCGCGAGGCGGGCGUGGCUAGGAGCAGACGGAAUUCUCGCUGGAAAACCAGGGCUCCCGCAGGCCCCACAGCAGGGAGGGCGAGCACAGGCGGCCUUACCCCCGCACACUCCCACCGCGGAGGAGGAGGCAGGGCGCGGGCGAGCUUGCGUCGGGCCGGGAUUAGGAGCACUGCCCAAGAGCAGCGUGGGCCCAGACCUGGAGCGGAGGCAUCGGGCGCAGCUGGGCCUAAUGUCCACAUCCCCGCUUCACACGCGCUCCCGCAUCUCCGGCUCCGUUACGGCCCCCGCCGUGCGUCGUCACAGACGCGGCCGCGAAAAGCUGCGGCAGGGCGCACGCACGCGGCAGGGAGGGGUCGCCGGAGAGAGAGGCCAGCGCGUGGCGCUCCGGGGCCCG
ensembl:lncRNA